rnacentral:rRNA from 1 species
AUUUUCGAUGNCCGCUGGCGGUAUUCCUAACACAUGCAAGUCGAACGGCAGCACAGUAAGAGCUUGCUCUUAUGGGUGGCGAGUGGCGGACGGGUGAGGAAUACAUCGGAAUCUACCUUUUCGUGGGGGAUAACGUAGGGAAACUUACGCUAAUACCGCAUACGACCUUCGGGUGAAAGCGGGGGACCUUCGGGCCUUGCGCGGAUAGAUGAGCCGAUGUCGGAUUAGCUAGUUGGCGGGGUAAAGGCCCACCAAGGCGACGAUCCGUAGCUGGUCUGAGAGGAUGAUCAGCCACACUGGAACUGAGACACGGUCCAGACUCCUACGGGAGGCAGCAGUGGGGAAUAUUGGACAAUGGGCGCAAGCCUGAUCCAGCCAUACCGCGUGGGUGAAGAAGGCCUUCGGGUUGUAAAGCCCUUUUGUUGGGAAAGAAAAGCAGUCGGCUAAUACCCGGUUGUUCUGACGGUACCCAAAGAAUAAGCACCGGCUAACUUCGUGCCAGCAGCCGCGGUAAUACGAAGGGUGCAAGCGUUACUCGGAAUUACUGGGCGUAAAGCGUGCGUAGGUGGUUGUUUAAGUCUGUUGUGAAAGCCCUGGGCUCAACCUGGGAAUUGCAGUGGAUACUGGGCCGACUAGAGUGUGGUAGAGGGC